AACUGACGCUGAGGCGCGAAAGUGUGGGGAGCAAACAGGAUUAGAUACCCUGGUAGUCCACACUGUAAACGAUGAAUGCUAGGUGUAGGAGGUAUCGACCCCUUCUGUGCCGCAGUCAACACAAUAAGCAUUCCGCCUGGGGAGUACGGCCGCAAGGUUGAAACUCAAAGGAAUUGACGGGGGCCCGCACAAGCAGCGGAGCAUGUGGUUUAAUUCGACGCAACGCGAAGAACCUUACCAGGUCUUGACAUCCAGUAAAAACCUGAGAGAUCAGGCGUGUCUUCGGACAUACUGAGACAGGUGGUGCAUGGUUGUCGUCAGCUCGUGUCGUGAGAUGUUGGGUUAAGUCCCGCAACGAGCGCAACCCUUGUGUUCAGUUGCUAACAGGUGAAGCUGAGAACUCUGAACAGACUGCCGGGGACAACUCGGAGGAAGGUGGGGACGACGUCAAAUCAUCAUGCCCCUUAUGACCUGGGCUACACACGUGCUACAAUGGCCACCACAGAGAGGAGCAAGCCCGCAAGGGGGAGCAGAUCUCAAAAAAGUGGUCCCAGUUCGGAUUGUGGGCUGCAACCCGCCCACAUGAAGUCGGAGUUGCUA
rnacentral:rRNA from 1 species